GUGUGGCUUGCCAGCUUUUCACAAGGCAUCUGCUGCAGUGGAGCAGGGACAGCUGUGUAAUCUGGAUCCCCAGCCACACCAAGAAACUGUUUGCCAAGGGAACUGUUGCUGGAUCAGCACUGGAUGUCAUCUGCUCAGCCUGGCUCCAACCCAGGGCUCCAUGGCAAAUCCCUUGGGUGACACCUGCCAUGUCUCGCUUGUAAAACCCACUCAGAUCUGUCCCAGCCUCUUUGAAUUAAUGCUGCUUGUAUCUUAAGCCUCUCAAUCAUGUGAGAAUUUUGUAAUGUGCUACACAGGAUCAUCUGAAAUGACCUAAGGACCUUGUGGCUCCCUUCUCUAUGGCUGCACAUGAUCACAGGGCGCUCCAGGGCACAGGCAGCUUUAUCCUGUCUCCAUCAACAGACUGCAAUCUCUACAUCAAGGAGAGAAAUAUCACCUGACAAAAGAUGGCUGAGCACAUCGUGGUGAUCCAAACCAGCCAUACAACAGCCAGGACAGGUGUGUGUACCAAACAGAAAGGAUUUAGGAACAAGUGGACUGCUUUCCACCACUGCCUUCUCAGAUGCCCACACCAAAGCAAUUACCAUAUGGGAGAUGCUGACUGGCUGGAAGAACCUGUUCAUUCUGGGUCUGUAAUGGAGUCUGUGAGGAGCUCAGCUUCCUGGUAUGGAAGAAGGAGAACUUCCUUGUCAACAACUGAGAAGAUUCUGAAGAACUCAAAGCGCCGAUUGUUCAUCAAGGCAAGGACUAUAUUUAAGCCGUGCCCUGUGUUUACACAGUUGGCUGAUGUGUUGUUGUGAAACCGUUGAUUGAGGCCUGUUAGAAGACGGGGAACGCUCGGCGCAGACGGACUUUGUGCUUCAUCCAUCUGCCAAACACCAACCAGCCUCUGCUGUUUCAGAGACUCGUGAUCCGACCGACUCCGGGUGCUGUCAUGGGGAUGGAGAAAGACCCGUCUUCUCACUCAAGGGACACUUCUUGCCAAGCCUGGAGGCAGUGCUGCUUCCCAGUAAAAUGGUUGUAAUAAUGUUUUAGCGUGGGCAAAAGAAAAAAAUAAAGAAAGAAAAGACCUCCCUAAACCUUGUUCA
rnacentral:lncRNA from 1 species